UUAAUUGCGAUUAUUUGUUUAAUUGCUUGACAACCUUAGUUUAAACCUUUUUAACAAUGAAUUAAUGUAAUUUUAAGUGGUAUAUCUGCCCCUGUGUCCCAUUAACAAUUCCUGUGGUUAUUGUAAAUGUAGCAUUUUAAAAGGUUAAAAUCAGGUUUGUUUGCAUUGUGCUGCUUAAUUAGUUAAAGUGCUCCAAGUCAGCUUGAACCUAGUCUUCCCUUAGUAUUCCAUUCAGUUACUGUCUGCAUCAGUAACUUUAGUGGAGCAAAAUCAGUGUUUUGUAAACUUUCCUGAGGCAUGUUUGUGUAUUGUAAUAUUGUACAAUCAUAUUUGAGCAGUGACAUUAUACGGAAGAGUCCUGACUCAAGCAGGUGCAUCAACAGAGAUUGUGUGUCUUAGGAGGGCCAGAGGAAGGUUCUAGCUUAAUAUUUUAUUUGAAAUCCUUACUUUUUUUUUAAGGUAUAGCAACUUUAUUAUCUCAGGCAUUUGGUGUUGAGAGAGUGGUGUAGGAGUCAAACUACCUGAUGUAUUACCUUUUGAUGUUACUUGGGCUAGAAAAGUACAGGGGUUAAUUACUUCUAAUCAACUGUUACUGCUCAUUGUUACUAUAUAUUUAACAAAAUUGUAUAGUCUAAGUAAUAAAAGGAAAGACCAGGCCAUAUACACUAGCUAUACGUAGUGUAUGGUAAGAUAAAUGCAUCCAUGUGCUUUAGGUAGCACUCAAAUAAUGAACUGCAGUUUGCCAAUGUAUUACAUUCCCUGUUCUUUUUUACCAUAUGCUCUAUGAGCAGAAUAGGAUUUCACAUUCACACACUAUCCAGUUCAUGUUGUCCAAUUCUGAUUUGGUUCUAUUCUGUGUCUUUACUGUUUUUUAGGUUAGUUUUACCAUAACAGCUAGUUCUCAUUUUACUGGAGCUGUUAUAAAUAUUAACUGGGAUACAUGCUAGAGAAUACAGAAAGAGCCUGAAAUAUUUGUAGAAAUGCCUCUCCCUCCCUUGAUAAAAGCCUGUUAUACUUUCCCUUCCAGCAAAGGAGAGUUGGAGCAGGCUUUCAGUAGAACCAGUCACAGAUGCUCUGAGUGCAGAAGGGACUUUUUUCAAUGUAAUGUCUGUCUACUCAAAUGCUAAGCCAGGUGUAUAAUGUUCUUAGGCCUUCUGAGGACAACUGAUAUUUCUUGAUGGUCAGAGUUGCUAUAUUUCUGUAAAAAGUAAUAAGGGUAGAACUCCGAAGCCCAAGUAUGGCUCCUUAAACAACACUUACAUCCUUGACAGCGUACUAUAUAGCCUUUUUCAAUAUAAAAAGUAUGUAAACAGGUAUAUUUCUGCUAUGUCUACCUUAUCUUGUGGAAUGUUUCCUCUAGACCAGGGGUUCCCAAACUGGGAAAGAAAGAAUGGGUAUGUGGAAGAAAUUGUGUAACGGUGGAUUUUAUUUAUUUUAUUGCAUUUUCUUAAUAGGCUUUAAAACUCUAGGAAUUUGUUUUGUAAAAUAUGGUAGUUUAUUUAAGAUGUGCCAGUGAGAAUACAAAUACACGGACACUGAUGUACCAAGCCCUCACCUCCAAUCACCAGCGCAGUUGCCCAGCAACUGUCCAGUCUAAUUGAGCUCAGAACAUAGGAGGAUUUUUUUGGUGGUAUAUGUUACACUAUAACUGUAUCUGUACACAACAGUAAAAUAUGGAUGGGUGGCUAAAUACAGCUACUAUUAAGCACACAAAGUAUCAGUGAUGAGAAGGGUUGGAGUACGCAGCAGCUGGUAGAUUGGAAGGGGGUACAUAGUAAGAAAAGUUUGGGAACCUCUGGUCUAGACAAGCAGGAAAGUGAUUUAUCUAAUCCCGUUUAAUUGGUGGGCUAAUAUAAAAGUUUAAUUUUGGUAACUUAAAUAUUAAUACAUUGCAAAUUCAACUGUGGUUGCAGACUCCAUGGGUAUGUGUAUACAGCGGAAAAAAAAAUAAAGCCCAUGGCGGCGACUCAAAGCCCUUACCCCUCUCCCUGGCCAUGAGCCCCAGCUUGAAUGUUUACACAAGCUAUUUGUAGCACCCUAGCGUGAACCCAGGUUUGUAGGCUGGGGCUGUGAGACUUCCUGCUGAGCGGUUUUGGGGUUUUUCUGCUAUGUAGACAUGCCCAAUUGGGUCCCAGCUGCACUGCAAGACAAUGUCGCUUUACUAUAUCUGUGUCAGGCCAAAUGCAUAACUAGGUCCCCUUAGCAUGACUGGAUUUGGAAGGGACCAGAUACUCAAAUGGAUGCCAGCUGCAAAGCUCUUGUUUUUGUGUUCCCCUUCAUUGCAGGUUAGACACUGCUUGCAGUUUAUUCCUUGUACUUUGUCACUGCCUACACUGGAAGGAGAUUAGGAGUCUUCUCUGCCCUGUCGUCCUUCUUACUGAAUGCUAGAAUUGAGAUAGCUGGGAGAUUUGAACAUCUGCGCUCUGGCAACUCGGGCAUUCUUAGUGGAAGAUCCUUGAUAUUGGAAUUCCUUUCUCCAUUACAGUUGAGUCUUGUUGUAAAGCUCAUAUAUUCACACAGGGGAAUUGGAUUGCAUACAGCAGGGGUGGGGAAACUACGGCCUGUGGACCGCUUCAGGCCUGUCAGACAUUUUUAUCCAGACCUCGAGCUCCCACUGGGGAGUGAAGUCGGGGGCUUGCCCCACUCCACCUGUCCGUCGCUCCUCAGCUCCCAACUCCCAAUUCCCUUGAUGAGCAGCAUCUUGUGGCACAUAGAUUCACGCUGCACAGGCACGACUUCACCGUACUGUUUCCGGGAUCAGAACCCCCAUGCAGCAGCAUGCCCAAUGCCCUCCCGGUCUCCUACAGCCCCACCCCCGAGAGCCUCAAAACUGCCCAGGGGUUGCACCCAUCCCAGCUAGGGUGCCUCUGCCCAUGGCAGUGCCUGGUACAGCUGCCUUGGUGUCACUGCCACAGGCCCCUAGAAGUCCCCUGUAGAGCCCCCCACCACCACACUCCGUGAGUUUCCCCCCUUCACCCACCUUGGUAACAUCUCUUAUAGAGCCCCCCCGUGCUACACCCCAUAGAGUCUCCCCCCCACCCCCACUGGGCAUUCAUAGCCUACUAUACAAUUUCCAUACCCAGAUGCAGCCCUCAGGCCAAAAAGUUUGCCCAUUCCUGGCAUAAAGGAUAUUAACCUAUUUGGGGAUGGAAAUCUGUUUACUAUGAUAUUAUCAUGUGUUUUUUAUUAAAAGUCUGUGUGCUUAGAGGUUGUCCAGUUAAUCAGUUUUGUACAUUGAAUAAUAAAAGUUCAGAAGUUCCCACAAUGA